rnacentral:rRNA from 1 species
UGGGGAAUAUUGCACAAUGGGCGCAAGCCUGAUGCAGCCAUGCCGCGUGUAUGAAGAAGGCCUUCGGGUUGUAAAGUACUUUCAGCGGGGAGGAAGGCGAUAAGGUUAAUAACCUUGUCGAUUGACGUUACCCGCAGAAGAAGCACCGGCUAACUCCGUGCCAGCAGCCGCGGUAAUACGGAGGGUGCAAGCGUUAAUCGGAAUUACUGGGCGUAAAGCGCACGCAGGCGGUCUGUCAAGUCGGAUGUGAAAUCCCCGGGCUCAACCUGGGAACUGCAUUCGAAACUGGCAGGCUAGAGUCUCGUAGAGGGGGGUAGAAUUCCAGGUGUAGCGGUGAAAUGCGUAGAGAUCUGGAGGAAUACCGGUGGCGAAGGCGGCCCCCUGGACAAAGACUGACGCUCAGGUGCGAAAGCGUGGGGAGCAAACA